rnacentral:antisense_RNA from 2 species
CUUCAGGGACCCCAACCACAGCGGCUGGUCGGCGGUGUGCGCCUGGCCGUAGGUGGCGAGCAGUGCCUGGGCCUC